UAGCUGGAGGCCUAACACAUGCAAGUCGAGCGCGCCUUCGGGUGAGCGGCGGACGGGUUAGUAACGCGUGGGAACGUGCCCUUUUCUACGGAAUAGCCUCUGGAAACGGAGAGUAAUACCGUAUACGCCCUUUGGGGGAAAGAUUUAUCGGAGAAGGAUCGGCCCGCGUUAGAUUAGGUAGUUGGUGGGGUAACGGCCUACCAAGCCUACGAUCUAUAGCUGGUUUUAGAGGAUGAUCAGCAACACUGGGACUGAGACACGGCCCAGACUCCUACGGGAGGCAGCAGUGGGGAAUCUUAGACAAUGGGGGCAACCCUGAUCUAGCCAUGCCGCGUGAGUGAUGAAGGCCUUAGGGUCGUAAAGCUCUUUCGCCUGUGAUGAUAAUGACAGUAGCAGGUAAAGAAACCCCGGCUAACUCCGUGCCAGCAGCCGCGGUAAUACGGAGGGGGUUAGCGUUGUUCGGAAUUACUGGGCGUAAAGCGCGCGUAGGCGGAUUAGAAAGUUGGGGGUGAAAUCCCGGGGCUCAACCUCGGAACUGCCUCCAAAACUGCUAGUCUAGAGUUCGAGAGAGGUGAGUGGAAUUCCGAGUGUAGAGGUGAAAUUCGUAGAUAUUCGGAGGAACACCAGUGGCGAAGGCGGCUCACUGGCUCGAUACUGACGCUGAGGUGCGAAAGUGUGGGGAGCAAACAGGAUUAGAUACCCUGGUAGUCCACACCGUAACGAUGAAUGCCAGUCGUCGGGUAGUAUACUAUUCGGUGACACACCUAACGGAUUAAGCAUUCCGCCUGGGGAGUACGGUCGC
rnacentral:rRNA from 1 species